UGUCCAGUUGGCCAGGAAAAUGGACAAUGAAAGACAAAUUUGAAUACAAUUUACUUCAUUAAAUAAUAUGCAGAGACAAUUCACCUACAUCAAAAUGACAUGUUAUGAAUCUACAGACGCUUUGCAAACAUUCCAUUUCAUUGCCUGGUGGAGAAAUUGGAUAAAUGCAGAAUCCAUCAACACACGGCAUUUGAAUGCAUCCAGGAAAUAAACCAGAAUUCUUCUGUCCUAUUUCCUCGUGUGGUUGGACACUCGACUCCAGAGACAGGGAAUCAUUUCAUUCUUUGGGUUUUGAAUGGCCUCACAAAAGAAAUCAUGGUGUACGAUUCCAUGAGGCACCACAUGGUCAUUUCUCCACAGGACAUGGAUAUACUCAGUUGAGCAUUUGAGAAAAUAUGGAAACUCAAAGAAUGGACGGUGACCUUCCCAAACCAGUGGAGGCAGGAGGACAGUGUUAACUGUGGCGUGUUUGUCUGCACAGCAGCAGACCUAUACAUCAGGGGACUGCAAAUGAAGACUGAAGCCCUGAACCAGAUACAACUGGGCCAGCUCAGAGUGUAUCACGCAACCUCCCUGAUGGCUGAUGUGGUUCCAAAGGGACAAAAAGUGCCUGAAAAUUGCAUGGCGGAGGUCAUUCAUGGCUGCAUUUUCUAUGACUCCAGCGGAAAGGGACAGAAAAAGAGGUUGUAUCCACACACAAACAAAGAAAACUGGAUAAAGUGUGAGUCAUGUAAUGGUUGGCUUCAUGUUGAAUGUGCCACGUGUGACCUAUCAGCACCUGCUGACAUUUUUACAUGUGGCUGUGACCUGGAUGAGCCUUACAUAUGUUCAAGGUGGGAACAAAUCUAUAAUUUGCAUG